rnacentral:rRNA from 1 species
AAAUGGCGAAAGGGGCAGUAAAGCGUGGAUAACCUACCUCGGGGACGGGGAUAGCCAUCCUAACGGAUGGGUAAUACCCGGCGAUCUGGCGACAAGGCCUCUUGUUGCCAGGAAAGGAAUUUCGCCUCGAGAGGGGUUCACGUGCUAUUAGCUGGUUGGUGGGGUAACGGCCUACCAAGGCAAUGAUGGGUAGCGGGUGUGAGAGCACGACCCGCGUCACUGGGACUGAGACACUGCCCAGACACCUACGGGUGGCUGCAGUCGAGGAUCUUCGGCAAUGGGCGCAAGCCUGACCGAGCGACGCCGCGUGGAGGACGAAGGCCUUCGGGUUGUAAACUCCUGUCGAGGGGGAAGAAGGGCCGCAAGGCCUUGACUGAUCCCUGGAGGAAGCACGGGCUAAGUUCGUGCCAGCAGCCGCGGUAAGACGAACCGUGCGAACGUUAUUCGGAAUCACUGGGCUUAAAGCGCGUGUAGGCGGAUCGGCACGUCUGUCGCUGAAAUCCCCCGGCUCAACCGGGGAACGGGCGCGGAUACGGCCGGUCUGGAGGGGCGUAGGGGGACCUGGAACUUCCGGUGGAGCGGUGAAAUGCGUUGAGAUCGUAAGGAACGCCCGUGGCGAAAGCGAGGUCCUGGACGCCUAC